ACUGUGGAAGCUUUUUUGUCAGAUACGGUUAUCUUUGGGGUUAAUUAUUAUAGCAGUUGAGUUUUAACACUUGAUUUGCUUUUAAAUCUGAAGCAUUAUAUUACUAAAACAUUUUUUGAUUUGUGAAUAUGUUGUUUAAUGGAUUAUAUCUCAUUUUGCAGUAGUAGUUGCAGUGCCUGAAAGAUUGCCAAAAAAAAUAGUGCUAGCUUUUGCUGAAAAAUGUAACAAUCAACUUACCAAUACUGCCUUCUCUUCCGAUAGCUAUGUUCUCCGUAAUAUUUUAAGAACUCAGUUUUUCAUAAGACUUGUGUUGUUUUUGAUUUUUUCCCAAGUCUGGUUGAUCCUUGUGUUGUUCUUUUUUAAAUGUGUAUUGUCUGUUCAGCUAUUCUGCAGGAGUUGCAUUCUUAAAAACCUUAACCAUAUCAAAAAUUGUGUUUAAAGGAGGAUUAUUGAGAUUGGCAAGCUUUUACUAGGAGGAGUUUAAAUGCUGACGUAUUUAGGAAACUCUAAAUACUGAGCAACUUUAUUCUAACUACAAAAUAGAUAGCCUUUCUUUUGUUUUUCACUUUCACUAUCAUUAGCACUGUGUUAAUAUCUUUUCUUCAUCUAUAACACAAUUAUAACGAUAUAUAAAGCCACUCAAAUAAAGCAGAUAUAUUGUGCUUAAAAAAAAAAAGAAAAAAAAAGAAGUCAUUAUGUGGCACACAAUGAGGUGUGACUUGAAUCUAGAAUCUCCAGUGAAAACCAAUGAAACAGGGUCAAACCCUGUGUCUACUAAAAAUAAAAAAAUGAGCCAGGCGUGGUGGCGCUGAGACAGGAGAAUCACUGGAACUCAGGAGGCAGAGGUUGCAGUGAGCUGAGAUCAUGCCACUGCACUCCAGCUGGGGUGGGGGACAGAGCAAGACUCAAUCUCAGAAACAAACACACGAAGCCAAUAAAGUUGUUUCACUCAACGUGUCAGGCUCAGGUCUCUUGACAGGAUACAUCCGGCAUCCGGGGAAACGUCGAGGGGUGGGGUGGAAUCUAUUUUGUGGCCUCAAGGGAGGUUUUGAGAGAUAGUCUUGCAAACGUGAUGGCCUAAGGAAGCCCCUCUGCCCAAGAAGCCAUAUUCAUUUGUAUCCUGUAGCCACCCACGAGGGAGAAUCCGGCUCUCUACAGACACCCCAACCCCCACCCCACCCCACCCCCUGCCUCGUGAAAUGAGCUCUCGCUCCAUCAGGCUCUAUUCACACCGUCUGGUUUUGUAACCUCCAGCGUGUGUGCAUGGGUUGCGGGGUGGGGUGGGGGCGGCUGUGGACAGAGAAGGGGAUAAAGCGGCGGUGUCCCAUGGGUGCCCGGGACGUGGGACAUGAGUAGAGUGGCCAGAGCCUAGUUAACUCAUCGCCUGUCAGGACGUCUCCCCUCCUGGUCCCCUCUCUGACCUACGCUCCACAUCUUAGCAGUUCAGUGGGGACCUUGUGGGUGGAAGUUGCCAACCCUUUGUACUUUAGCCGACGAAGACUGGGCUCCCAAGAGUCUCCCCGGAGUCGGGGCCUUGGGCAGGUUCACAAGGAUCCUGAUGGCGACGGUUGGUGAUGGUGAUGUAAGUUGGAAGCCUCGGACCAAAUCAGAGGUAUCCAUUUGACCUCGGUGGGACAGGUCAGCUUUGCGGAGUUCCGUGCGUCCUUCCAGAGAUUCAUCCAGCGCUAGCAAGCAUGGUCCCGAGGAUCCCAGCUCCCAGCAGAGGCAAUUUUGUUCACACAGAAUCCUGGGCAGGAAAGUUCUCAGCAGAUUUAGGCCUCCUAGCCAAAAAGUCAAAGCCACUUCUGGGAUUUUUUUUCAAAGAGCCAAUGGUUCCACAAUGGGCCAUGGGUAGUUGUGGAAAUGGAGAGACGUGUUUGCAGAUACAUAUUUGAGACAGAACGGACAGGGCUCGGUCACAGUUCAUGUAGGACACGAGCAGAUGCACAUUGAGAAAACCUUCCCAGCAUCCUAGGUGAACAGAGGUAUGAUUUUUUGAGACAGUCGAGGGAGACGCAACCCCAGAUUUUAGGGUUGGAUCUUUAUUAAUAUGUAGUAUCUAUGAGGAAUCCAAGUCCAGAAAUCAACUCGCCAGUUCUGUACAGCAUUCUGUAGGGAGAUCAAAUCUGGGAUGUCUAAAGUUAAGAAUUCAGGCCGUGGUAAUGGAUUAGAUUAGACGUACUUGAACUUAUUUUGCAAAGAAAGAGAGGGUGGGAGAUAGCGAGAGCCAGAGAGAAGGCGAGAGAGAGAGAGAGAGAGAGAGAGAGAGAGACAAAGACAGAGACAGAGAGAGACAGACAGAGAGACACAAAGAUACACAAAGAGAGAAAGACAGAAAGAGAGAGAGAGACAGACAGAUAAAGACACAGACAGAGAAAGACAGAGAUGGACAGAGACAGAGAGAAACAGAAAGAGAGACAGACAGAGACAGACAGGCAGACAGUCAGAGAAAGAGAGUAAGACAGAAGGCAGACACACACACACACACAGAGAGACAGAUGGACAGACAGAGAGAAAGAGAGAGACAGAGAGAGAGACAGACAGAGAGAAAGAGACAGAGAGAGAAAGAGACAGAGAUAGACAGACAGAAACAGAGACAGAGAGAGAGAGAGAAACAGACAAGGAGAGAGAGAGACAGACAGGCAGAGAAAGACAGUAAGACAGAAGACAGACACAGAGAGAGACAGGCAGAGAGAGACAGACAGAGAGACAGAGACAGAGAAACAGACAGGCAAAGAGAAAGAGAGAAAAAAAACAGACACACAGGGAGAGAGAGACCUACAGACAGACAGGCAGAGAGAGAGACAGAGACAGCGAGACAGAGAAACAGAAAUACAGACAGGCAGACAAAGAGACACACAGAGAAAGACAGAGAUGGACAGAGAGAGACAGAGAGAAACAAAGAGAGAGAGACAGAGAGAGAGAGAGAGAGAGAGACCGGCAGAGAAAGAGAGUAAGACAGAAGACAGACACAGUGAGAGAGACAGGCAGAGAGAGAGACACACAGAGACAGGGAGACAGAGAGAAAGAAAGAGAGAGAGACAGAGAGACAGACAGAGAAAGACAGAGACGGACAGAGAUAAACAGAAAGAGAGAGAGACAGAGACAGAGAGAAAGAGACAGAGAGAGAGAGACAGACAGGCGGAGAGAGAGACACACACACAGGCAGAGAAAGGGAGUAAGACAGAAGACAGACACAGUGAGAGAGACAGACAGAGAGAGAGAGAAAUAGGCAGAGAGAGACAGAGAGAGAGAGAAGACGGAGAAAGAGAGACAGAGAGAGGAGGAGGAAGGGCGUGCUCAGGAAAUAAUUACACAUAUUUUAUAACGCUUUUGAUCCCAUAAACGGUGGCCGAGGUGUGCUUUGAAAACAACAACAACAACAGCAACAAGAGCAGCAGCAGCAGCAAGAGCAGCAGCAGCAUUCACUUACGGAUUUCUAGAACAUAAGAUGUUCUGAAGAGUAGUAAACAUCAACCGGCUCUCACUAUACGUUCAGAGAUUCACAAAAUCGUUAGUAAACAACAGGAGAAAACCGCAGCUUACAUGUCUUGGGGAAAAUAUACGUCUUCCUGAAAACUGGGGAUUUCUACUUCAUCUAAAAAGAAAUACAUAAGAAAAAGGAAAAACACGAACGAAACAAAACAAGCCAACAAACACGGGCCAAGGCACUGUCCCUGGAAAUCUUAAGUGAGCAAAGUAUUAGUUUUCAGAAAGCGUUUCUAUUUUGGACAAAUACUAAGAAGGCCCAGACUAGAGCUGUGACGUCAUUCCUAUUGUGAAACUAUGCUGGCCGGAGGGCGGAGAAACUAAAACAUCAUGAUAAAAGGUGAUUGAAACCCAGCCGGGGUGAAGGUUUCCUAGGGAGGGAGGCCUGAGGAAGGAAGCGGGGUAAAAAACCCACAACUGCAGACCCGCCCGCUUGCCGACGCGGGUCAAGGGCUAUGCCAUCGGCCCAAGCUGCCUCUGGGGAAGUGGGACCGUGCCACCCCCAUCUUCAAAAACGGUGGCCACUGAAGAUGCUCAUUUCAACAACCAGGCGGUUGAUGUGACGGAAGAAGUGUCAAGUCCAGGAGUUUGAGACCAGCCUGAGCAACUGAGCAACACAAGUAGGAGAGCCCAGCUGAAAAAAAUGAAAAAAAGAAGGAGGAGGAGGAGGAAAGAAAAGAAAAGAAAAGAAAAGAAGAGAAAAAAGUUAAAAUUAUCCAAUGGUGCAGGCACAAAAAAGAGUGAUUUCACGUCUUUUCCCACAACAUGGAUAGAGCUGGAAGCAAGUAUGUACCGAGUGAACUGCCUUCUGCUUACAAGUGGGAGGUAAAUAAUGGGUACGCGCACGGUCAUCAAGAUGGAAAUAACAGACACUCCAAAAGGGAGGAGGAGGGUAAGAGGGGGAGGAGGAGGGUAAGAGGGGGACGAGGAAUGAAUAAAUCGCCCGUCAGAGACAACGUUCGCCACGUGGGUAAGGCAUACACUGGAGGUCCACUUCUGCAUCCGGAAGCAGUAGUAUGCUGAUCUAACAAACAAGCACAUACACCCCCUGAGUCUGUAAAAUACCAAAACAACGACGACAGCACCAGCAGCAGCAGCAACAGCAGCAGCAGCACCAACAACAACAACAACAGAACAGAAGCUGGAACACAAAACCACCACCACCACCACCACAGUCGCCAGUCGGGGGUUGGGGGAGGGUGGCCGCGCUCGAGACCCUCAGGCACAGUCCCCUCGGGUUUAAAAAAGAAAACUGCAGACUCAUUCCUGUCUGUAGGCAGGAAAAAUCCAAUCAAAGUUCUCCAUUGCUAGAAAGGGAAGUAGAAUAAGGAGAAGGGCUUAUUGAUCUUCUUGUGAUCGAUUGAGACCACACAUGUAGGAAAAAAUUAAAUACAGACAGCAACACUUUCUACACUGUUCAAAAGCAUUGGAGAUCAGGCGCACCACACACCAUGGGCCUUGAGCCACUAGAGAGAAAAGGCAGGCCAGGUGCGGUGGCUCACGCCUGUCAUCCCAGCACUUUGGGAGGCCGAG
rnacentral:lncRNA from 1 species